CUUCCUCGUCGAUUCAGCGGAAAAAGAAAGAAAAAAAAAUUAUAUCUUAUUCUUCUUUUUCAUUACAUAUACUACUACUCCUAGAAGGAAACUCCCCCUCCCCUUGGAGAAGCCAUUAAUGAAGAAGAAGAUAUGAAGAAGAUGAUGGCUAUUUUUUAUUUUUUUUAAUUUCUUUAAUGUGCUUUUUUUUAUUGGUUGAGGUUUCUUAUAUAUGAAUGAUUUUUAAUGAAAUCAUUAAUGGAGAAGAAAAUAUGGAGAAGAAGAUGAUGGGUAUUUUUUUUUUUAAUUUCUUUAAUGUGUUUUUUUAAUUGGUUGGAGGAUUGGUGUGUGUGAAAUUUUGUGAGUUCGUGUGUUUAUUGUAAUUGUGUGUAUAUAUUCUGGAAGAAG
rnacentral:lncRNA from 1 species